AUUUCCGCUUCGACCGGAAGUCACAUCCUAGCUUCAACAUGGUUCCCCCCGUUGCAGUGUCGCCGCUCAUCAAGACGGCCAGAUGGUCUGCCCUGCUACUCGGCGUGAUCUACGGCAAACAGCGAUUUGAUUACCUGAAGCCCAUUGCUGAGGAGGAGAGGAGGGUUGAGGAAGCGGAGAAGAAGGCCAGAGAGGAGCAGGAACGCAUCUACAAACAACUCUCUGAAGCAAAUUCUGACACCAUCCUCAAAUGAACCAUUUCCUGACUUAUGUUGCUGAACAAUAAAUAUUUCUAAUGUAAUCAA